rnacentral:lncRNA from 1 species
GAAAAGGAGGCUCAGGGCUGGGGCUGAAGAUGGCCACUGAGAGGAGCACAGCCCUAGGCUCUGGGAGGGAUUUGCGCUUGGAACCACUUGGAGGACCCCCCAGAAGCCACUAGCUCUAGGAUCAGCCACAAGGACCGGGACAGAGGUCUGGCUUUUACUACUUGUUAUUCUGGAGACAGAAUCUCAGGUUCUCUGGUGCUGCAGCACAUUGGGUGUGAGCGCGCGUGGUGCCACGCUGGCUGGCCCGGGCACACUUCCAUCACAUGCAUUCUGUGUGGCAUGAGGACGCUGCAUCUGAGAGAGGCUGGCCCUCCAGACAGUCUGCAACCUUCCAACCCUAAGAUGAACUGAGAGGAGGAGCCAAGGGCAGCCAGGGAGGACUUCCUGCUUGUCUGUGAUUCUCUGAUGAUCUUGAACACACAUACCUCAUACCGAAAAUGGACCAUCAUCACUUAUUGUGUCCUCUACUCUUUUUGCUCUUAUUGGUCCUAUUUCCCGAUUUAUUUUUACUUUUCCAAUUGACCAGUUCUUUGAUUCCCUUUUGUUACAGGCCUGAUGUCUGACCCAGUGACUAACAGCAUUAGGUUUGUAUUGACAUGCUAUGUACAUUUCUGUCACUUGCUCUUUCGAUAAGUUUUUUUGGUUAGCCCCUUAUACAGGGAUAAAGCAGCAACCUACACUCUUGCCACUUGCGAGAUGGCUCAGUGGUUAGAGUACUAGCUGCUCUUGUAGAGGUCCCAGGUUCAAUUCCCAGUACAUGGUGACUCACAACCAUCUGUAACUUCAGUCCCAGGGAAUCCAACACCCUCUCCUGGCCUCUGUGGGUAAACACACAUACAAAAUAAAUAAAUAGAAAAAAAAACAACAAACAACAACAACAAAAAACUAACCCAGUACAAUUUCAAGUCAAGUUAGGACUGAAACCUUCACGUCUUCCAUUCCACACACCACCGUCUGAGUGGGCAGUCAUUCCUGAGUUGGAUGCUCCCUCAAUAGCCAAGGGCCUUGGGAAUGUUCUGAAUU